rnacentral:lncRNA from 1 species
CCAAACAUUUCCCCAGCUCCAAAUAAUCUACCUCAGUAUCAUCCUCCGAACAAUGUCUGGUCAUCUGUCCAACCACUAGGCCACUCCCUAUGUUGAGCACCAGCACCGCAUUAUGCAUUAUUGCCUUCACAACAUUCUCAAGCAUCUAACAACCCAAGAAAUCAGGGACAGGGAAGAGAGCAAAGGAAAAGAAGUAGUUUCACGUAAAUUGGGGAGUCCUACGCAAGAUAAUUUGAAAAGUUAAAGCAUUCUGGCCUGAUUGAGACGCUCCUUGGCUAUACUCCAGACCAUAUGCAGUAGGAUUUGAUCCUACUAUACGACGCAUGUACCACUCUAAUGUCGAAGGGAACAACAUUGAAGAUUGUCGUUCUUUGAAAAGGGAAAUAGAAAGAAUGAUUGAAGAAGGGAUUAUUAUGGUGUAUGACAGUGACAGGGAGCACGCGGAUCCUCUUGGAAACUUGUUGAUUGAAGUUGAUGAUAUUGAAGUUGGUAAUGGUCUUGGAAAUAUUGAUGUAGAACUCAGUGGCUAAGAUGCCGAGCUUGGUAAUUGGGAAAGACACUUCAUCUCUUGGCUAGCUCGAGCAAAGUCUUGGUGGUUCGUUUUGUUGUCAUUUCUAUUUUUCGGGUUAUUUUUAGGGCCGUAAUCCGGAUAUUGUCUUGUGAUCAAACCCUCUUAUCCUUUCAUUUUUGUCUAGCUUAUUUAGUCGUAGUCGUCUGUCUAGUGUUUUCCAAGUGUGUGUUAUUUGUUCUGCUUGUUUUGUUGUGCGACCUGUUUCACCAUUUGUCUAAUGAAAAUUUUGGUUUUUUGUUACCUACAGUCAUCUUCUUUAGUUCUUCUUUAUCAUUUUGUUUUGUCUUUUGUUUCGUGCUAGUUCUAGUGACAUGACAUGCAUUCAAAUUUCUUAGUCUAAUAUUUAAAAUUCAGUUUACUCAGGAAGCAAUGAAAUCAUUUUUGAAACUAAGAACAUAUGUGGAAAUUUUAAGAUUAUUUGAUGCCCGAACCAUGUGAAACUGGGGCAAGUAAAACAUGAAGAAACCGUAACCGCAAGUUAGCCAAAUUCGUAGGGGGCUGUUCGUGGUAAUGAGAGUGAGAGUGUUGUCCAAUGUCACUUUGUAGUUCACUGAUGGAGAAGACGAAUGAAUGGAUAUGGUUGUUUAAUUUUGCAAUUUCCACUUGGCAUGUUUUGGAUAUUGGAAUGACGAAGGCAUUUUGUUCUGCUAUCUAAACAUUUUAUCCCUUGUCAUCCCUUUUGAGCCUUAUUUAGUUUCUUUCAUACCCCUCUUUCAGAAUCAGUGGCACAACUAAGAAAUGCAAGUGCCGAAAAUGAGUACAUAAAAAGAAAAGAAGAAGAAUACAAAAGAGGAAGAAAAGAAAAGAAAAAAGAAAAGAAAAGAAAAGAAGAGGAAAGAAAAGAAAAAGAAAGGAAAAAUGAAAGAGAAAAAGAAAGAAAGAAGAAAGAAGAAAGAAAAGAAAAGAAAAAUCACAACAACAAAGUAAUUCCUAUGAAGUGAACUACGUUUGACUUGAUCCCGAAAGGGUACGUAGGCAGCCUCACUGAGAUUCAGUCAUACCAAAAUAAGUCCAAAAAUUCCCAAGCAAGAAACCGGGGCAGAAGUUGUGGUUGUUUUGAGAAAUUGGAUCCCUAAAGUAGUAAUUUUAACCCAUUUAAAUUUAAUUUUUCAGCCUUUUAUACCCUUUUUUUCGAACCCUGCCCAAAGGCCACAUUACAGUCCAAAAAAAGACCUUUUGAUCAGUCUGCGAGAAAUGCCAGGUCAAGCAAAUAAAGAUGAUUCAUGUCAGGGGAAACACUCUGAUCCAAACAAGGAAAAUGAAAAUGAGCGAGCCAGAUUGAUGAAAACCCUCAUGGGUACCGCAAGGUGAUGAAAGAUGAGAGAAAGAGGCUUGAUGGUGAAAACCCUUUGGGCACUACAAGUCAAAUAAGGAUUGCGAAGCAGAUUGGAUAAUCAGAGUAUUAAAGCCCAGUUUCACGGCUAAAAGGUACAACAAGACCUGAACAUUAGAUGUGCUUAACAGAAUAGGCCGCAAGUGCAUGUCAAGGUCAUUAGAGUUGGUAUCCACAUCCGAUAGGCUUCUACUUUGUAGUUUUUCUUGUUUGGAAUCAUCUCUUUCCAUUGUCCUUUACUCUGUUCCUCUUGUCUUGGUUACUUACUCUUCCUGAGUCUGUUUGGUCAAAACAAGUGAGAAAUGACUUCAAAAUGUGCCACCAGCUUCCUAAUUGCACAACAAGAUCUGGCUAGUACAUCAAAGUGUCAUAAGUCAAGAAAGAGCGACAAACGCACUGAGUUGGUAACAAAUAACAUGCUUUGGGAUUCGUGUAUAGUACAAAGGCUUGGUAUAUAUCAAUUUGUGAAAAACGCAACAGAUGGAGGGUUAGAGUGAAUGAAUCAAUAUGCUUUGGGGAUCAUGUGAAACUUAACGGUUUGUCAGAUGUCAGUUCAUGAGUAAUCCAAUAGAUAGAGGAUAUUGGGUUUGAACGAAGAAGAGGUCUUUUUGUGAUAAGGGUGAUAGAGAAAGAGGUUAGUCAAGGAACAAGAAAGGUCUUUCAAGGUGAAAUCAAAUUAUCAUGGAAAGUGAAGGAGCAACGCCACAAAAGUCAAGGCCACAAACCAACCAUAAUGUUUAAACUUACAAGUUUUCUUUGUCUGAAACAAGGAUGGAAGCUAUGUCCAUAUCAAAUCUUGGAAGGUUGAAAUUUUCAUGUGUAAUGCCCCAAUUCUGCUUACGCAAAGGCUAUUCAGAAAAUCACACAUCACCACUAGGAGAAGCACUUCCUAGUCUAGUUUCUCAAGUUAUAUUUUGUUGUAGGAGACACACUUCUUAAACUGAGAUUUUACCCUUAGGAGAUGCACUUCCUAGUUUGGAUCAUAUAAGUUUGAGUCACUGAAUGUUUUACCCCUAGGAGAUGCACUUCCUAGUCUAAGUUUUUCAAAUUAUAUUUUUUCUUAGGAGACGCACUUCCUAAAUUGAGAGUUCGAACUAGGAGACGUACUUCCUAGUCCGAUUAUUGAAGUUUUAUGUGUAGGAAACGCACUUCCUGAAUUGAGAUUUCACCCCCUAGGAGACGCAAUUCCUAGUCUGAUUCAAUGAAGUUUUACGUGUAGGAGACGCACUUCCUAAUAAAGGUCUUUCAAGUUACUCUUUUAGGAGACGCACUUCCUAAAUUGAGAGUUCAUUCAUAGGAGAGGCACUUCCUAAAUUGAGAGUUCAUUCAUAUGAGACGCACUUCCUAGUUUGAAUCAUGAAGUUUUCACCCAUAGGAGACGCAUUUCCUAAAUUGAUAGUUCAUUCAUAGGAGACACACAUUCUAGUUUGAGUCAUUGAGAUUUUACCAUAGGAGAUGCACUUCCUAAAUGAUAGUUCAUUCAUAGGAGACACACUUCCUAAAUUGACAGUUCGAUUAUAGGAGACGCACUUCCUUAAUUGAAAGUUCAUUUGCAGGAGACGCACUUCCUAGUUUGAGUCAUUGAGUUUUACCCAUAGGAGACACACUUCCUAGUUUGAGUCAUUGAGUUUUACCCAUAAGAGACGCACUUCCUAUUGAGUUACACCCAUAGGAGACGCACUUUCUAAAUUGAUAAUUCAUUCAUAGGAGAUGCACUUCCUAGUUUAAAUCAUUAAAAUUUCACCCCUAGGAGACGCACUUCCUGGUCUGGUUCAUUGAAGCUUUACCCAUAGGAGAUGCACUUCAUAAAUUGAGAAGUUCAUUAGUAGGAGACGCACUUCCUAAACUGAGAUUUUACCCAUAGGAAACGCACUUCCUAUUUUCAAUCAUUGAAGUUUCACCCCUAGGAGAUGCACUUACUAGUCUGGUUCAUUGAAGUUUUACCGGUAGG